rnacentral:sRNA from 1 species
AUAAUUAGUCGAAUGCAUUGGAUUGUGACACAUUUUGACCAUAGAAACGCUAACAAAGC